GGAGGGAUGCCCGAGCGGCCAAUGGGAACAGACUGUAAAUCUGUCGGCAAUAGCCUACGAUGGUUCGAAUCCAUCUCCCUCCA
rnacentral:tRNA from 3 species